rnacentral:rRNA from 1 species
UACAGAGACUGCAAGCGUUAUUCGGAUUCACUGGGCGUAAAGGGUGCGCAGGCGGCCAAGUGUGUUAGGCGUGAAAGCCUGGGGCUUAACCCCAGAAUUGCACCUAAAACUACAUGGCUAGAGCAUUGGAGAGGGUAGCGGAAUUCACGGUGUAGCAGUGAAAUGCGUAGAUAUCGUGAGGAACACCAGAGGCGAAGGCGGCUACCUGGACAAUUGCUGACGCUCAGGCGCGAAAGCUAGGGGAGCGAACGGG